AUUGAACGCUGGCGGCGUGCUUAACACAUGCAAGUUGAUCGGUAACGCGGGGGCAACCCUGGCGACGAGAGGCGGACGGGUGAGGAACGCUUGGGAAUCUGCCCAUCAGCGGGGGACAACCCGGGGAAACUCGGGCUAAUACCGCAUACGCUCUACGGAGGAAAGCCGGGGACCGCAAGGCCUGGCACUGAUGGAUGAGCCCAAGUCGGAUUAGCUAGUUGGCGGGGUAACGGCCCACCAAGGCGACGAUCCGUAGCUGGUCUGAGAGGACGAUCAGCCAGACUGGGACUGGGACACGGCCCAGACUCCUACGGGAGGCAGCAGUGGGGAAUAUUGGACAAUGGGGGCAACCCUGAUCCAGCGACGCCGCGUGGGUGAAGAAGGCCUGCGGGUUGUAAAGCCCUUUCGAUGGGGACGAAAGCUUCCGGCCUAACACGUCGGGAGUCUGACUUAGCCCAUAUAAGAAGCACCGGCUAACUCUGUGCCAGCCGCCGCCGUAAUAC
rnacentral:rRNA from 1 species